rnacentral:rRNA from 1 species
GUCGAACGCUGGCGGCGUGCCUAAUACAUGCAAGUAGAACGCAGUUGCGAACGGGUGAGUAACGCGUAGGUAACUGCCUCAUAGCGGGGGAUAACUAUUGGAAACGAUAGCUAAUACCGCAUACUGUGAGAUGGACCUGCGUUGUAUUAGCUAGUUGGUGAGGUAAAGGCCCACCAAGGCGACGAUACAUAGCCGACCUGAGAGGGAGGUCGGGCACACUGGGAACUAGACACGGGCCAGAAUCCUACCGGGGGCAACAGGAGGGAAUCUUGGGAAAUUGGCGGAAGUCUUACCGCGCAACGCCGCGGUAGUGAAGAAGGUUUUCGGAUCUGAAAGCUCUGUUGUUAGAGAAGCGGUACCUAACCAGAAAGGGACGGCUAACUACGUGCCAGCAGCCGCGGUAAUAC